rnacentral:rRNA from 1 species
GACGAACGCUGGCGGCGUGCUUAACACAUGCAAGUCGAGCGGUAAGGCCCUUUCGGGGGUACACGAGCGGCGAACGGGUGAGUAACACGUGGGUGACCUGCCUUUAGCUCUGGGAUAAGCCUGGGAAACUGGGUCUAAUACCGGAUACGACUCCGCGGUGCAUGCUGUGGGGUGGAAAGCCUUGUGCGGCUGGAGAUGGGCCCGCGGCCUAUCAGCUUGUUGGUGGGGUGAUGGCCACCAAGGCGACGACGGGUAGCCGGCCUGAGAGGGCGACCGGCCACACUGGGACUGAGACACGGCCCAGACUCCUACGGGAGGCAGCAGUGGGGAAUCUUGCGCAAUGGGCGAAAGCCUGACGCAGCGACGCCGCGUGAGGGAUGACGGCCUCGG